rnacentral:misc_RNA from 1 species
UCAAUAGAAGCAAACCCAUCAAGCAAUCCUUCAAAAAACCCAUUAUCCGUACAAUUCCCCAGCAAUUCCCCUUCUUCCAAAACCUCUUCAUCUCCCUCCAUAGCUGCCACACCACCCUUGGCCCUAUCGUCUUCUUCCCCUACAACAGCCGGCAUGUGGCCUUCAAACAACGCCAUGUGCCCAAACAACUUAUCUUUCCUCGAAAAGGUAGUUCCGCACGAGCACUUCCACCUGGACUCUCCACAGUGCUUCAAGUGGCUCUUCAAAUCUGCCACCACCGAGAAACUCUUCUUGUUGCAACGAUUGCA